AUGGGUGCUGUGAUACUUCAACUAAAAGAGCACUGUGUUUACUGUUCCUUGGCAAAACAUCUUCACAAUGAUCACCAUUCACUGCCAUGCUUUACAGUGUCUGCCUUAAUAGGAGCGAGGGCCUGGCUUACUAUUGUCUGCCUGGGCUCUGAGGGUUUGUGUGUUUCUAUCUCAGUAAGAGGGACAAUUGGGAUAAACAGCUCACAGAUGGACAUUGAGUUGAUGAUUCGGUCAGUUUGGAUUAUGUAAGUGGAGAGAAGUCAUAACUAAACUAAAUUGCAUAUGAGACAUCUGUAUGCUGUAGCGGUGGAGGUCCAAGGAGCCUAGAAAUAACUAAGUCAGAAAAAGACCCGAGGGGGGAUAGGAAGUGUGUGCAUCUCAAGAGGCUGGGUCGCAGCAGAAGCACUCUAAGGCUGUGCCCUUGCCCAGAACAAAAGAAAACGGCACCCUGCAAUAACUCUGUGGACCCCAAGCAAAUAUAAACUGAAGAAUGGAAGGCUCCAGAAUCUCUCUCCAUCUUCUCUUCUUCCUUCUGAUUGGACAAGCUUCACACACCAGCAUUACUCAGCCUCAGACCACUAAUGCCAUAUAUCCAACUGACAUAACCUCAAUUACCCAAGAGGAAAACGACACCUCCAGCUCUCCCACAAAGGCUACCACGGGCUGCCUCAUCAAGCCCCAGUUGGGCUUCAUAGUGGUGACCUGCGCUGGGGGCCUGGUCCUGUUUCUGCUCGUCUCUACUGUGGUCCUGGCCUCCCAGGUGUGCAGUCUUAGGCGCCAGGCCCGUGCCCCUCGCCCCGCCCGCAGUAACGUGGACCUGGUGAGUGGCGCAGGCUACUGGGACACGGAGCACUCUGAGGGGGGCAUAGUGGGGCCCUGUGAUACCAGUGUCAUGUUGGAGGAGGUCCGUUUGGAUGGAGAAGAGGAUGAAGAGCAGGGGGAAGAAGAGAAACAGGAAAGGGAGGAGGAGCAGGCAGAAAGAGUCAGAGGCCAAACAGGGGAUGCGAGAACAACUGGCGAAAUAGCCAUGCAGAUGCAGAGUUCCAGCUCCAGGGAUUUGUGUCUGGAAAUCCCCCAGGAUCUAGAGAACAUGCCCCUAGUGGUGUGAGUAGAGCAUUGCAUGCACUCCCUCUCCAGCCUCAGAGAGCCAUGGCCUGGCUCAGAGCUGAACUUCACUCAGGCAUAGAUAUCAACAGGCCAGAUCAGCUCCAGUCUUGUGCCUCAAGUCAAAACAAAGAGUAUUUGUUAUUUUUUUAAUAAGUACUCCAGCUAUAUGUAAUCAAUUUUUAGGAGCUUUUACAUAUUUGCUUUGUAAACUGCAUUAAUCUGAUUUGGAAUGAUUUUGUCUCAAAUUUAUUUCUAUAGAGAACAUUUGAAUAGGCUGUUGGGAGCAGCAAGACAUUAAUUUGAAAUAAUGUGCUACGAACAGCACACUACUGCCAACUGCCCAAGUUAAUUACGCUUACAGCUUACUACGAAGGUUCAGGAUCUAUGUACGGGGGGGGGGGGGUCACUUAUAUUUUACAUUUGAGUCAUUUAGCAGACGCUCUUAUCCAGAGUGACUUACAGGAGCAACUAGGGUAAAUUACCUUGCUCAAGGACAUAUUGACAAAUUAAAAACAGUGACCUUUUGGUUACUGGCCCAAAGCUCUUAACUGCCAAAUUCAAUCAUAUUAGCAGUACACUAUGCCAACUUCUCUUAAUGGCAGAGGUACUGAGAAUAUUUGAUUAACUAAGUGUAACAAAAGGGCAUUAAGCUUACGUAGAAAGUAUAUUUUGUUGAAGAUUGAAAUGAUAGAAACUCAACUCCAAUAUGUAAUAGAAUGGAAGCCCCCCGUCUCUAUUGACACUGUUGGCUAAAAGACUCCUUCUCAGCAAACAAGCACUCAAACAUUGUCCACCAUAUAUAUAUAUAUAUAUAUAUAACUGAAUGUGGUCGCUUCUCCCCAAGACAUUAAAUGUCAAACAUUUUAUAAUAUAUGUUGUCCAAUCUAAACUGUCCUAUCUACCUGUAUUAAAAAAAAAAUAAUAAUAAAACACACUCAAAUAUGCCAACAUGCUUGCUGGUCAGAUGUGAGUUCAGUUAAAAUGAUUACUUUCCACCAACUUGAUGUGAACUUCCUUUCCUUUAUCUGAAGUGAUUCCAUGCACAAAUACUAUACCAAGGGUAAACUUUGAACAUCUUGUUUCCAUCGGUGGCUGGGCAGAGAGAUAGCAUUGGUCCUGCCAAGCCUACUUGUUACAUCAAUAAGUCUUCCCCUCAACCUUCACGAGUCAGUCACAGAACUCCUAACUCCUUUGUUUCCACUCCUCUCUACUAAGUCUAACUUCUUUUCUCUUUUCUGUAAAAAUACAAUAUUUGUUUAAAUGCCACAACCCAAAUAAAUGGAGGUUUUGUGAA